AUUGAACGCUGGCGGCAGGCCUAACACAUGCAAGUCGAACGAGUGGCGGACGGGUGAGUAAUGUCUGGGAAAAUGCCUGAUGGAGGGGGAUAACUACUGGAAAGGGUAGCUAAUACCGCAUACCAUCAGAUGUGCCCAGAUGGGAUUAGCUAGUUGGUGGGGUAACGGCUCACCAAGGCGACGAUCCCUAGCUGGUCUGAGAGGAUGACCAGCCACACUGGAACUGAGACACGGCCCAGACUCCUACGGGAGGCAGCAGUGGGGAAUAUUGCACAAUGGGCGCAAGCCUGAUUCAGCCAUGCCGCGUGUAUGAUGAAGGCCUUCGGGUUGUAAAGUACUUUCGGCAGGGAGGCGUUACCCGCAGAAGAAGCACCGGCUAACUCCGUGCCAGCAGCCGCGGUAAUAC
rnacentral:rRNA from 1 species